GAUGAACGCUGGCGGCGUGCCUAAUACAUGCAAGUCGAGCGAACAGAUGAGGAGCUUGCUCCUCUGACGUUAGCGGCGGACGGGUGAGUAACACGUGGAUAACCUACCUAUAAGACUGGGAUAACUUCGGGAAACCGGAGCUAAUACCGGAUAAUAUAUUGAACCGCAUGGUUCAAUAGUGAAAGACGGUUUUGCUGUCACUUAUAGAUGGAUCCGCGCCGCAUUAGCUAGUUGGUAAGGUAACGGCUUACCAAGGCAACGAUGCGUAGCCGACCUGAGAGGGUGAUCGGCCACACUGGAACUGAGACACGGUCCAGACUCCUACGGGAGGCAGCAGUAGGGAAUCUUCCGCAAGGGGCGAAAGCCUGACGGAGCAACGCCGCGUGAGUGAUGAAGGUCUUCGGAUCGUAAAACUCUGUUAUUAGGGAAGAACAAAUGUGUAAGUAACUAUGCACGUCUUGACGGUACCUAAUCAGAAAGCCACGGCGAACUACGU
rnacentral:rRNA from 1 species